GAAGAGUCGAGUUGUUUGGGAAUGCAGCUCAAAUUGGGUGGUAAAUUCCAUCUAAAGCUAAAUAUUGGCGAGAGACCGAUAGCGAACAAGUACCGUGAGGGAAAGAUGAAAAGCACUUUGGAAAGAGAGUUAACAGUACGUGAAAUUGUUGGAAGGGAAACGCUUGAAGUCAGACUUGCUUGCCGAGCAAUCGGUUUGCAGGCCAGCAUCAGUUUUCCGGGAUGGAUAAUGGUAGAGAGAAGGUAGCAGUUUCGGCUGUGUUAUAGCUCUCUGCUGGAUACAUCUUGGGGGACUGAGGAACGCAG
rnacentral:rRNA from 1 species